rnacentral:ncRNA from 1 species
AAGAACGCAAUGAGGAAGAAGAGUAGUCUAAGCAGUCUUUCAGCGAGCUCCGGUUGGUGGAAGGGAGUAAGAUGAUGGUUAGAUGAAAAUCACUUCCAAGUGUUGUACUGAAAUCAUUUUUGAAAGUAAAGUACAUUGGGUACACCCAUUAUCGUGUUAGCGUAUCGCCUAGACGUAGGCCGUACGUGAAAGGUAAAUGUAGCGAUACAUUUAUGAAAACAGGGUGGUACCACGCUUAAAGCGUCCUUGAG